GAUGAAGAACGUAGCGAAAUGCGAUAAGUAGUGUGAAUUGCAGAAUUCAGUGAAUCAUCGAAUCUUUGAACGCACAUUGCGCCCUUUGGUAUUCCAAAGGGCAUGCCUGUUCGAGCGUCAUUUGUACCCUCAAGCUUUGCUUGGUGUUGGGCGUCUUGUCUCUAGCUUUGCUGGAGACUCGCCUUAAAGUAAUUGGGAGCCGGCCUACUGGUUUCGGAGCGCAGCACAAGUCGCACUCUCUAUCAGCAAAGGUCUAGCAUCCAUUAAGCCUUUUUUUCAACUUUUGACCUCGGAUCAGGUAGGGAUACCCGCUGAACUUAAGCAUAUCAAUAAGCGGAGGA
rnacentral:misc_RNA from 1 species